AUGCACGCUGGCGGCGUGCCUAAUACAUGCAAGUCGCGCGAACGGACGAGAAGCUUGCUUCUCUGAUGUUAGCGGCGGACGGGUGAGUAACACGUGGAUAACCUACCUAUAAGACUGGGAUAACUUCGGGAAACCGGAGCUAAUACCGGAUAAUAUUUUGAACCGCAUGGUUCAAAAGUGAAAGACGGUCUUGCUGUCACUUAUAGAUGGAUCCGCGCUGCAUUAGCUAGUUGGUAAGGUAACGGCUUACCAAGGCAACGAUGCAUAGCCGACCUGAGAGGGUGAUCGGCCACACUGGAACUUAGACACGGUCCAGACUCCUACGGGAGGCAGCAGUAGGGAAUCUUCCGCAAUGGGCGAAAGCCUGACGGAGCAACGCCGCGUGAGUGAUGAAGGUCUUCGGAUCGUAAAACUCUGUUAUUAGGGAAGAACAUAUGUGUAAGUAACUGUGCACAUCUUGACGGUACCUAAUCAGAAAGCCACGGCUAACUACGUG
rnacentral:rRNA from 1 species